rnacentral:rRNA from 1 species
AAGAAAAUGACGGUACCUGCCUAAGAAGCCCCGGCUAAAUACGUGCCAGCAGCCGCGGUAAUACGUAGGGGGCAAGCGUUAUCCGGAUUUACUGGGUGUAAAGGGAGCGCAGGCGGCCUGGCAAGCUCUGAUGUGAAAUACCGGGGCCCAACCCCGGGGCUGCAUUGGGAACUGCCAGGGUGGAGUGCUGGAGAGGGCAGGCGGAAUUCCUAGUGUAGCGGUGAAAUGCGUAGAUAUUAGGAGGAACACCAGUGGCGAAGGCGGCCUGCUGGACGGUGACUGACGCUGAGGCUCGAAAGCGUGGGGAGCAACCUAAAGUAGAUCCCCUGGUAGUCCCCGCCGUAAACGACCAAUAAAAGGUGUCGGGGCGCAAGGCGGCCCCGGUGCCGCAGCCAAACGCAGUAAGUAUUCCACUGGGGGGGUACGUUUGCAAGAGGUGGAACUCGAAAGGAAUUUGACGGGGACCCGCACAAAGCGGUAGAGGCAUGUGGUUUAAUUCGAAGCAACGGGAAGAACCUUACCAAGCCUUGACAUCCCGCCGACAGCAUAUGCAACGUAUGCCCCCUUCGGGGCGGCGGAGACAGGUGGUGCAUGGUUGUCGUCAGCUCGUGUCGUGAGAUGUUGGGUUAAGUCCCGCAACGAGCGCAACCCCUGCCCCCAGUAGCCAGCGCGUGAGGGCGGGCACUCUGGGGGGACUGCCAGGGACAACCUGGAGGAGGGCGGGGCCGACGUCAAAUCAUCAUGCCCCUUAUGGCUUGGGCUACACACGUGCUACAAUGGCGCGGACAGAGGGAUGCGAAGUGGCGACAUGGAGCGAACCCCAAAAACCGCGCCCCAGUUCGGAUUGCAGCCUGCAACUCGGCUGCAUGAAGCCGGAAUCGCUAGUAAUCGCGGAUCAGAACGCCGCGGUGAAUACGUUAACGGGUCUUGUACACACCGCCCGUCA